AUUGAACGCUGGCGGCAGGCCUAACACCUGCAAGUCGAACGAGUGGCGGACGGGAGCGUAUUGUCUGGUAAACUGCCCGAUGGAGGGGGACAACUACUGGCAAUUGUAGCCAAUACCGAAUACUAUCGGUUGUGCCCAGAUGGAUUUAGCUAGUUGGUGGGGUAACGUCUCACCUAGGCGACGAUCCCUAGCUGGUCUGAGAGGAUGACCAGCCACACGGGAACUGAGACACGGUCCAGACUCCUACGGGAGGCAGCAGUGGGGAAUAUUGCACAAUGGGCACAAGCCUGAUGCAGCCAUGCCGCGUGUAUGAAGAAGGCCUUCGGGUUGUAAAGUACUUUCAGCGAGGAGGCGUUACUCGCAGAAGAAGCACCGGCUAACUCCGUGCCAGCAGCCGCGGUAAUAC
rnacentral:rRNA from 1 species